CAUUGGUCCUCUCGCAAUACUAGUAAGCGAACCUGGUCAGGUCCGGAAGGAAGCAGCCACAGUUUAUGACGUAUGUGCCGGGAUGUGGCUGGUGGGG
rnacentral:SRP_RNA from 3 species